rnacentral:rRNA from 1 species
UACGGAGGAUGCGAGCGUUAUCCGGAUUUAUUGGGUUUAAAGGGUGCGUAGGCGGACGCUUAAGUCAGCGGUAAAAUUGCGGGGCUCAACCUCGUCGAGCCGUUGAAACUGGGUGUCUUGAGUGGGCGAGAAGUACGCGGAAUGCGCGGUGUAGCGGUGAAAUGCAUAGAUAUCACGCAGAACUCCGAUUGCGAAGGCAGCGUACCGGCGCCCAACUGACGCUGAAGCACGAAGGCGUGGGUAUCGAACAGG